GGGAGAUGGUGUUUUGCAUUGUCAGGGUCAUCUAUGUGUUCUAGGUGUAGAUGAAUUUAGGCAACGAAUUAUUGCAGAAGCGCAUAGUGCACGCUACUCUCUUCAUCCAGGGGCCACUAAGAUGUACCACGACUUACGGGAGAUCUAUUGGCGGAGUGGGAUGAAGAGAGAUGUUGCAAAGUUUGUAGCUAAGUGCUCUAUAUGUUAGUAGGUUAAGAUAGAGCAUCAUAAGCCUAGUGGGUCCAUGCAAGAGUUC
rnacentral:lncRNA from 1 species